CCGGCCGGGAACUCAAAGGAGACUGCCAGUGAUAAACUGGAGGAAGGUGGGGAUGACGUCAAGUCAUCAUGGCCCUUACGACCAGGGCUACACACGUGCUACAAUGGCGCAUACAAAGAGAAGCGACCUCGCGAGAGCAAGCGGACCUCAUAAAGUGCGUCGUAGUCCGGAUUGGAGUCUGCAACUCGACUCCAUGAAGUCGGAAUCGCUAGUAAUCGUGGAUCAGAAUGCCACGGUGAAUACGUUCCCGGGCCUUGUACACACCGCCCGUCACACCAUGGGAGUGGGUUGCAAAAGAAGUAGGUAGCUUAACCUUCGGGAGGGCGCUUACCACUUUGUGAUUCAUGACUGGGGUGAAGUCGUAACAAGGUAACCGUAGGGGAACCUGCGGUUGGAUCACCUCCUUA
rnacentral:rRNA from 1 species